ensembl:snRNA U1 U1 spliceosomal RNA
UCACUUGAAUGUUGAGGAUAUCUGAAGAACACCUUUGGUGCUUUGUACACUAAUGAUUGAAAACCUGAUGAGCCAUGUGCUGACCCCUGCAAUUUCCCCAAAUGUGGGAAACUGGACUGCAUAAUUUGUGGUAGUGGGGGACUGCAUCUGCGCUCUCCCCUG